UUCACCUACGGGGGGAGCAGUGGGGAAUAUUGGGCAAUGGGCGCAAGCCUGACCCAGCAACGCCGCGUGAAGGAAGAAGGCUUUCGGGUUGUAAACUUCUUUUAAGAGGGAAGAGCAGAGGACGGUACCUCUUGAAUAAGCCACGGCUAACUACGUGCCAGCAGCCGCGGUAAUACGUAGGUGGCAAGCGUUGUCCGGAUUUACUGGGUGUAAAGGGCGUGUAGCCGGGCUGACAAGUCAGAUGUGAAAUCCGGGGGCUCAACCCCCGAACUGCAUUUGAAACUGUUGGUCUUGAGUAUCGGAGG
rnacentral:rRNA from 1 species